UUUCUGUACAGCACUUUGAGAUAUCAGCUGAUGUACGAAGGGCUAUAUAAAUACAUUUGAUUUGAUUUGUUUUUCUGCACAAUCGAUCAUUCAUCUGAACAAUAUUCUCAGCCCUCGUCAUUCACAUGACACAUCGUGGACAUGCUCCCAGUUCGGAACAAAUUCUUUGUGUUGCACUUUGUUUUUUUGCCAACAGAAGUUUUCUAUAUAACAUCGGUGACACUGAGCACAUUUCCAAGGCAACAGUCUGUCGGGCUGUCAGAAAUGUGACUCUUGCGCUGAAACGUUCACUGUACACUUUUGGGGUGUCCCCAAGUCACAGACCCAAAGAAGAAUUCCACAUAACUGCAGUUAUCAGUCAAAGCAACAAUUAAUUUAGUAUGAAGCUUCGAGACUUGAAGUACUAAUCAGUUAAUUUGAUAUAUUUUGGGGUUGCCAGGUGUGAUUGGCUCAUAGAUGGCACUCCUAUUCCUAUCACAGCUCCUUCAGUAAAUGGAGGAGAUGUUAAUAGGAAGUCUUUCCACAGCAUUAAUGGGCAGGUAGAACUAAAUAGUAGCCUUUAGCAUUCCAAAUGAAAAAUACCUAACAAGACAGUUACUGCAGCUAAUUCCUGUUCUGCACUGUGAAGAUCAUAUGUGAUGCAGCCCACAUCAUCAGCAACGUGGAAGCGAAGUGGCCUGGGUCUGUGCAUGACUCGCACAUUUUUCGAGAGUUCGAUGGUUACCUGCUCGGUGACAUAGGGUACCCUGCCAGCCCUAUUUGCUGACCCCUUACCCUGAUCCCGGCCCGCAGCAACGUUAUAACUUGGCUCACUGCAGGACACGAGCCAGGGUAGAGAUGACCAUCGGGAUGCUCAGGGCCUGGUUCCAGUGCCUUCAUAAGCUCAGGGUCACCCCAGAACGAGCAUGUGACAUUAUUACAUGUGACAUUAUUGUGGCAUGUGUGAUUCUCCACAACAUUGGCACAAUUGGAGCAGAACAAUGUCCUACUCAACCAGUGAAUGAUCCUGACCACCCUGCUGAUGCACGAGAUGGAAGAGACACAAUAUGCUACCAUUUCUGAUUGACCCAUCACCUCCCCAGUGUCAAAGACAAUAUGCCUUUCUUUAUAUAAAGUACAAAUGCAGUA